rnacentral:lncRNA from 1 species
CCAGCAGCUGUUCCUCUCCUGUCUGGGGUGCUUGUGACACUAACCGCUCAAAAUCUUGAAUGUAUUCAUCAAUUCUUCCAUUCUGUUUGAUCUUUGCCAGCUUCUCAAAAACAGAGCUUCUCUCCUUUCCCCCAAACCUCCUAUUCAGCGCCAUGGAAAACUCUUCCCAAGAAGGAUUCUUGGAGUUCUUUCUCCAAAAACUGAACCAAGGACUGGCGCUUCCCUCCAUACUGAUGAAGGCCAGUUUUAAUCUUUCCCCAGCUGUCACAUUCUGCACCUCAAAGAAUUUUACAGCUCUGGCCAGCCAACCCAUUGGGUCCUCGCCCUCAAAA